GACGAACGCUGGCGGCGUGCUUAACACAUGCAAGUCGAACGGAAAGGCCCUGCUUUUGUGGGGUGCUCGAGUGGCGAACGGGUGAGUAACACGUGAGUAACCUGCCCCUGACUUUGUGAUAACUUCAGGAAACAGGGGCUAAUACCGGAUAGGAGCUCCUGCUGCAUGGGGGGGGUUGGAGAGUUACGGCGGUUGGGGAUGGACUCGCGGCUUAUCAGCUUGUUGGUGAGGUAGUGGCUUACCACGGCUUUGACGGGUAGCCGACCUGAGAGGGUGGCCGGCCACAAUAGGACUGCGAUACGGCCCAGACUCCAACGGGAGGCAGAAGUCGGGAACAUUGCACAAUGGGCCGAAGCGUGAUACAGCAGCGCCGCGUGCGGGAUGACGGCCUACGAGUUGUAAACCGCUUUCGCCUGAGACGAAGCGUGAGUGACGGUAAUGGGUAAAAAAGCACCGGCUAACUACGUG
rnacentral:rRNA from 1 species